UUGAUUGACUUUUAUUUUCAUUUUUAAGGGAACAAAUUGUAUCAAAAUAAUGUUUUGUCUGGCAGAGAUAUUUAUCUGUAGCUGAAUGAACAAAUGAAAUGCUACUGCAUGCCAACCUUUUUGUUUGUAUGAUGGGGGUGACUGUGAGAAGAGAAGGUGAUAUUCUAUAUGUUGGGUAUAAUAAUAUUCAUCUUCUUCUAGGUGAUCAGAUCUUCUGAAGACCUACCACUUAUUUACUCACUCAAUCAGUAAGUGGUGAAUUUAAAUGCUGAAACAGUACUACUCAACAUACCUUCUGUGAGUCAACUGUUAUGAGCAACACCUGGAUCUCAUUAGAAAUGCAGAAUACGAGGUCCCAUCCAAGACUCAGUGAGUAAGAAUUUCCAGAGUUGAGCCCAGGACUGUCUACCUGCUUUAACAAGCCCUCCAACAGAAUCUCCAUGUACUAGAUUUCGAGAUGUGCUAGGCUGAAGUAUGUGCAUCCUUCAGAAAUCAAAAUCUUCUGGAUUCAUUUUACAUUUAAUCGUCCUUCACUAUUUCCCUUUAGUACUAUCUCUACUAGAAAGUCACUGAACCAUCAAUCUUCCAAUCAACGAGCUUUUAAGGUGGGCCUACAAGCUGUCACUUGAUAAUUAAGAGAUGUGAUGAAUUCUGUUGAGGCCUUCCUGCUGUGAAGCUCAUGAAGUCCCAUGGUGCUGAUUGCAGUGAGCCAAGAUUGUGCCACUGCACUCCAGCCUGG
rnacentral:lncRNA from 1 species